rnacentral:lncRNA from 1 species
AUGUCAAUAAAAUACGAACUUAUAAACAACAAGUAAAUUGUUUAUAAUUACCUAUCAAUAAUAUUUAUAAUACCAAGAUUUUUAAUUUUUUUAAUAUAUAUUUGUUUUUAUUCUAAGAGUUUGAAUUCUCAACCAUCUAAUUCAAAAGUUAUGUAUUAUAUGAUAAUAGCGGGUACGAGAAGAAGAACUAGUCGUCGGAUAAAAGAGCCGAUUGCCGACUGCCGACUGCUGCCACACCGGGAGCCAUCUCCGACUGCCAAAAAAGGUAAAAAAUUUUCGACUCGUUCGGAAUUCGAUUUCGAGCACCCUUAUGACCAUAUCAGAGUAAAAACAAACGGCGGGUGAGUCGGAAACUGCGAGCAAAGCCUAGCGGAGCCCCCGCGGGUAAAACUCGCAACCGCUUCCGAUGAGCCUCUUCCCGGUUUUCGUUUCCUGCAAUUUUUCUAUCAUUAUGUUCAUCGUUCUAUUUUCUACAAAUUGACCGAAGAAAAAAUCUCAGUUGCGAAGGUGAGCCGGCAGAGCUGCCGCAUCGGAAAACUUCACCACUGCUAGAUUUUCGUUUUCUGAUUUUUUUUCGGCUAACCGAGAUCUUUUAACGUGUUUUCUCGCAGAAAUAUUUAUAAAGUCGACAGAAACCGGCCAAAACUAGCCGAAAAUGGCCAAGCUGAGGCAAACCGCCACCGCAUGCGGUGGUGCUGUCGCUAGAGUACGGCGGUCACCC